rnacentral:rRNA from 1 species
UACGAGUACCCCGAGCAUUAUCCGGAAUUAUUGGGCGUAAAGGGUGAGUAGGCGGUGCAAUUAGUCGUGUGUUAAAUCCCAGAGCUUAACUUUGGAUUCGCACACGAAACGGUUGCACUAGAGGGUGUGAGAGGUGAAUGGAACUCAUAGUGUAGGGGUGAAAUCCGUUGAUAUUAUGGGGAACACCAAAUGCGAAGGCAAUUCACUGGCACAUUUCUGACGCUCAAUCACGAAAGCGUAGGUAGCGAAU